rnacentral:rRNA from 1 species
AUUGAACGCUGGCGGCAGGCCUAACACAUGCAAGUCGAACGAGUGGCGGACGGGUGAGUAAUGACUGGGAAACUGCCCGAUGGAGGGGGAUCACUAUUGGAAACGUUAGCUAAUACCGCAUACCAUCGGAACAGCCCAAAUGGGAUUAGGUAGUAGGUGGGGUACCGGCUCACCUAGGCGACGAUCCCUAGCUGGUCUGAGAGGAUGAACAGCAAAAAGGGAACUGAGAAACGGUCCAGACUCCUACGGGAGGCAGCAGUGGAGAAUAUUGCACAAGGGGCGAAAGCCUGAUGCAGCCAUGCCGCGUGUAUGAAGAAGGCCUUCGGGUUGUAAAGUACUUUCAGCGAGGAGGCGUUACUCGCAGAAGAAGCACCGGCUAACUCCGUGCCAGCAGCCGCGGUAAUAC